rnacentral:rRNA from 1 species
ACGAGCGGCGAACGGGUGAGUAACACGUGGGUGAUCUGCCCUGCACUUCGGGAUAAGCCUGGGAAACUGGGUCUAAUACCGGAUAUGACCUCCUAUCGCAUGGUGGGUGGUGGAAAGAUUUAUCGGUGCAGGAUGGGCCCGCGGCCUAUCAGCUUGUUGGUGGGGUAAUGGCCUACCAAGGCGACGACGGGUAGCCGACCUGAGAGGGUGACCGGCCACACUGGGACUGAGACACGGCCCAGACUCCUACGGGAGGCAGCAGUGGGGAAUAUUGCACAAUGGGCGAAAGCCUGAUGCAGCGACGCCGCGUGAGGGAUGACGGCCUUCGGGUUGUAAACCUCUUUCAGCAGGGACGAAGCGCAAGUGACGGUACCUGCAGAAGAAGCACCGGCUAACUACGUGCCAGCAGCCGCGGUAAUACGUAGGGUGCAAGCGUUGUCCGGAAUUACUGGGCGUAAAGAGUUCGUAGGCGGUUUGUCGCGUCGUUUGUGAAAACCAGCAGCUCAACUGCUGGCUUGCAGGCGAUACGGGCAGACUUGAGUACUGCAGGG